rnacentral:rRNA from 1 species
UGAGGAACAUGACCUUCGGCGGGGGAGUAGCCGGCCCAACGGCCGGGUAAUACCGCGUACGACCACAUGGGGACAUCCCUGAGUGGUGAAAGCAGCAAUGCGCCGAUGGAGUGCCUCGCGGCCUAUCAGCUUGUUGGUGAGGUAAUGGCUCACCAAGGCGACGACGGGUGGCCGGCCUGAGAGGGUGACCCGGCCACACGUGGGACUGAGACACGGCCCAGACCUCCGUACGGGGAGCAG